rnacentral:tRNA from 1 species
CCGGGUGUGGCGCAGUUGGUAGCGCGCAUGACUGGGGGUCAUGAGGCCGCAGGUUCAAGUCCUGUCACUCGGACCA